GACGAACGCUGGCGGCGUGCUUAACACAUGCAAGUCGAACGGAAAGGCCCUGCUUUUGUGGGGUGCUCGAGUGGCGAACGGGUGAGUAACACGUGAGUAACCUGCCCUUGACUUUGGGAUAACUUCAGGAAACUGGGGCUAAUACCGGAUAGGAGCUCCUGCUGCAUGGUGGGGGUUGGAAAGUUUCGGCGGGUGGGGAUGGACUCGCGGCUUAUCAGCUUGUUGGUGGGGUAGUGGCUUACCAAGGCUUUGACGGGUAGCCGGCCUGAGAGGGUGAACGGCGACAUUGGGACUGAGAUACGGCCCAGACGCCUACGGGAGGCAGCAGUGGGGAAUAUUGCACAACGGGCGGAAGCCUGAUGCAGCAACGCCGCGUGCGGGAUGACGGCCUUCGGGUUGUAAACCGCUUUCGCCUGUGACGAAGCGUGAGUGACGGUAAUGGGUAAAGAAGCACCGGCUAACUACGUG
rnacentral:rRNA from 1 species